ACACAUGAAUCAUUAUUAAGUUUUUCAGAAUACAUCACUAUUUUAUACUAUGAGCAGCCUGCCCCUAUCAGGCCCCGUCAAGAGGUGGGCAAACGAACCUCUAAAUCCCAGGGGAUGAAGGCAUCUUUAAUUUCUUCAAAGGGUUGAAAAGCUCGGGCGCAACACUCUAUAGCAAGAGAUUCAUGAAACAUGCAGCUGGGCAGGGUGGAGCGAAAGUGCGAAGUCGUAUUAUUCAUUAUGUUGCUAUUGAACAAUAUCAUCACAGAUAUCAUCAGUGGAUAUCAUUCAUUCAAGCAGGUCAGUAGAGAGAUAGGCAGGCAGGCAAGCAGAUAGCAGCUAGUAAGCUAGCAUUGAUAGGUAGGUGGGUAGCUAGAUGGUGAUGCUUAUUCUCAUAGGGAUUGAUUAGAUAUCGAGCGG
rnacentral:sRNA from 2 species